GUUCUUGCAUUGUAGGUAAACACGGAACUACAUAGAGAGCAUGGCUAGCCGUGGAGCUCCUACAGGAUUCCAGAGUUUGACGUACAUGGAUGACGACCUGUAGGGUUAUUUUGUAGGCUACCAUCUGUUGGGUUAUAUUUUGGAAUCCUAUAUAGUGUACUUUUGAAAUGGCCUGUAGACAUGUUUAUAAGCUCUGAAUAUAUAUGUUGGAUUAUGGCGAUAUGAUUUUGGGUUUCGAUAUAUUAUAUGAUCUGUCACAGGUGAUUAGAAGUUAACAAGCUCAAAAAAAAUAUAUAUAUGUAAAAUUCUAUGUCUAGGUUGUGUAUAGAUAUCAAUAUUAAUUUGGGGGUGUGACAACUGACGAUGCCACGAACAUUGCUGACUUAUUCUUUAAAGAGAUUGUGCGUUUACAUGGGGUUCCUAGAAGCAUAGUGUCGGAUCGGGAUGUCAAAAUUUUGAGUCACUUUUGGAGAGUUUUGUGGGGUAAGUUAGGCACUAAGUUACUAUUUUCCACAACUUGUCACCCACAAAUGGAUGGGCAAACCGAGGUAGUGAAUAGGACUAUGACACAAUUGUUACGCACCGUAAUCAAUAAAAAUUUGAAGAGUUGGGAGGAGUGUCUACCAUUUGUUGAAUUUGCAUACAAUUGUUGGGUUUGGGUGCACCUUAGGAAAGAGCGGUUUUAGGAGCACAGGAAGUCCAAGUUGCAAUCGAGGGGCAAUGGUCCAUUUCAAGUGAUUGUAGAGAUAAACGACAAUGCUUACAAGUUGGACCUUCCAGGUGAGUACAAUGUUUCGGCUACUUUUAAUGUAUCUGAUCUCUCUCUAUUUGAUGUAGGUUCAGAUUCGAGGAUGAAUCCUUUUGAAGAGGGAGGGGAUGAUAUGAUCCAGGAGUCGAGCCCGACGAAGGCAAGUGCGAGACGAAACCCGUUGAUAGUCGAUGGCGGACCAAUUACACGAUCAAGGGCAAAGCAAGUGAAACAAGCGAUGGGAUUGCUCGUUCAAGAAACCAUUGAUGGAACCAUGUUUGGGACUCAAAAUGGAGCAACUUUCAUGUUCGGGUCAAAGGUUGAAUCAACUUGGAUCAAUUUGUUAUCAAGCAACGAAAGCGGAGGCUGAAGAUAACACCAUGCAGCCGCACAGGCAAAACACCAUGCGGCUGCACAGUGGCAUUCUGAAAAUUUAAUUGAAAUUUUUGUUGAACCAUGUGACCGCAUGGAAAUACACCAUGCGGCCGCACUGGCCAAAAAUUUGGCGAAUUUUCCAAUUUUGGCAAUUUUCCAUAUUUUGUUAGAUUUUGAUUCUUUUCCAUAUUUUAGAGAUUAUGCUCGACUUUUACACUAUUUUUACCUAGCUUUUAGGUUUAGUAUAAAUAGGAGUUUCCAUUCAGUUGUUAAAAACGCCUUUGACAUUAUUGAUAUUGAAUUAAAG
rnacentral:lncRNA from 1 species